rnacentral:lncRNA from 1 species
CUCGAUCUGAUCAAGUCUCUUGAUUUCUAAAUAGCCAAGCCCAAAGACCACCACACCAACCACGGAAAUCAGCUAAACACCAGCUUGGCCAUUCUGAGACAUUAGCCCAAAAUGGGAUUAUACCAGCUUUGGCUAGAAUCUAAUAUUUCAAUAGCAAUUUUGCAUUAGACAGAAAUCAUUAAACUUGUGGCUAAAACACAAAAGCUGGACUUUGAAAUGGACGUGACUGGGACUAAAUUGAAUUGAAUAAAGUACAGUGAACAACAUGCGUAACUAACUAUACAUCAAAACCCCUCCCGACUGACAAAACCACACCUAGUACAGGUCAAUGGUGCAUUUUCAGCACCUUCAUAACAGCCAGCACAUUCGAACCCUUCUCAUUGUCCUGAGGUAGACCCAGCUCAGCUCAACACUAGAGGACUCUCAAGAGACACUGGAGACAAACUAUGUCAGGGGACGCAUACCUGAGGUUGCUCUCUAUAGUAGCCUAUUUAUGUGUUCUCAACACUGAGGCUCAUUCAGGUGGUUUUCCACUCACUCUUCCUGACUGGACGUCAAAUGCAGAUUAUUUUGCGAAGUGUGAUUUUGGCAGUGAUUUGCCAGCAUCCUGUGAUUGGACCUCUGAGGGACCCAUCAGCGCUCAGAAGGCAACAGGUAAUUAUACUGUGGAGACGAAAUUGCUGCAGAGACAGUAACUGCUUUGUGUUUACAACCAAUCCAUCCACCUGCUGAACAACAACAGCAGUUAACAGGUUGCUUACAACACGCAGAGAUCAAGUCAGUUCAAUUUUUGCCGAUCUGUGGUAAUUAUGUGUGAAACAUCACGUCGUCAUUGUCUAUAAAACAGUGCCACUCUAAGGAGCUAAAGGUGAUUUGCAUUUAUUAAGUCAUCAGGUAUUAUGUUUGAGCAGAAAAAAUAUAAAAAUACUGACACUAUUAUAUAGGCCUACCUCUUCCUAGUGACCCUAUUAACUUUUUACCAAAAAAAAAAAAUUACAUAUGUAUGUAAAAUGUAUAAUUAUAUACAUACAUACAUACAUACAGUGGUGGACGAAGUGCACAAAUCAAGUACUUGAGUAAAAGUAC